UACGGAGGGGGCUAGCGUUAUUCGGAAUUACUGGGCGUAAAGCGCACGUAGGCGGCUUUGUAAGUCAGAGGUGAAAGCCUGGAGCUCAACUCCAGAACUGCCUUUGAGACUGCAUCACUUGAAUCCAGGAGAGGUGAGUGGAAUCCCGAGUGUAGAGGUGAAAUUCGUAGAUAUUCGGAAGAACACCAGUGGCGAAGGCGGCUCACUGGACUGGUAUUGACGCUGAGGUGCGAAAGCGUGGGGAGCAAACAGG
rnacentral:rRNA from 1 species